rnacentral:tRNA from 2 species
AGGAGCGUAGCUCAGUUGGUAGAGCAUUGGUCUCCAAAACCAAGGGUCAGGGGUUCGAACCCUCUCGCUCCUGCCA